AGCUAGGCAUUGCUUGUUGUCUCUCCCUCAAGGGCUCCUCUUCAAGAUCCUUAUAAACAAGAAAGCAUGAGGGGGAGGAGUUCUUGUAGGGUGAGACAACAAGAAAUUCCUUGCU